GUUUUGCCAUGACGCUCCUUCAUGCUGCAAUGGCUUCACUUCUUUACCAAAGUGGUGCCGUUUCAAUAAAGAUGAAUGUGCUACUAUAUGCUUCAUCUCUAUUACUUCUCAUGCUAAGAGGUAUGGAUAUUAUUGGGGUGAUAUCGGCUUUAGCUGGUGCAGCAUUGGUGUAGGUGCUUGCUCUGUCUUCGACAUUCUUAGGGUUGUCAGCAUAGGCUUGAAGGUGAGUUGGAGUUCAACUAUCAUUAUGUUGUAAGAGAGGGCAUUGUGUACAGUGUUCAUUUGUUGCACCUACUUCGUGAAUGGUUCUGGGAGGUUGGCAUUUUCACCUAUUAUUGAGGGAAGGAGUUGUAUCAUAGAUGAUCAAAGUGGGUUAGGGAGUUGUACAGUGCCUUUACUAUAUGCAUUAUUUUCCUCUUAUUAGGGCCCAACUUGCUAUUAAGUUAAAAAC